rnacentral:rRNA from 1 species
CGAGCGGUAGGCCCUUCGGGGUACACGAGCGGCGAACGGGUGAGUAACACGUGGGUGACCUGCCCCCUACUCUGGGAUAAGCCUGGGAAACUGGGUCUAAUACCGGAUAUGACCUUCGAUUGCAUGAUCGUGGGUGGAAAGCCAGGGACAUUGUUUCUGGCGGUGGGGGAUGGGCCCGCGGCCUAUCAGCUUGUUGGUGGGGUGAUGGCCUACCAAGGCGACGACGGGUAGCCGGCCUGAGAGGGCGACCGGCCACACUGGGACUGAGACACGGCCCAGACUCCUACGGGAGGCAGCAGUGGGGAAUAUUGCGCAAUGGGCGGAAGCCUGACGCAGCGACGCCGCGUGGGGGAUGACGGCCUUCGGGUUGUAAACCUCUUUCGGCCCCGACGAAGCGUGAGUGACGGUAGGGGUAGAAGAAGCACCGGCCAACUACGUGCCAGCAGCCGCGGUAACACGUAGGGUGCGAGCGUUGUCCGGAAUUAUUGGGCGUAAAGAGCUCGUAGGCGGUGUGUCGCGUCGGCCGUGAAAACCUGCAGCUUAACUGUGGGCUUGCGGUCGAUACGGGCAUCACUGGAGUUCGGCAGGGGAGACUGGAAUUCCUGGUGUAGCGGU